UGAAUUCUAACACUGUAUCGCUUGUCACACUAAAUGUAAUUCCCUUUUAUCUGUGUGUGUGUGUGUGUGUGUGCGUGCGUGCGUGUGUUUGUGUGUGUGUGUGUGUGCACACGGUGCGAGGGACAGGUAUGUAGACAGGCAGUAGCUGCCCCUGGAGAUGGAUGGAGACUAUAAACACUGCCGCUCUAACUGGCUUUCAGACUGGAGAGGGAGGGAGGGAAAGCUGGAUGGAGGGAGGGGCAGGGAAACAGAGACUGAUGAGAGAGAGAGAGAGAGAGAGAGUCUCUUCCUAGCAUGUUUCUAGUACUCAGAAUAUCAAGUUUAGCUCUUUGAAUGCUAAGACUUACAGUCAUAAAGCCUAUUCUUUCUCAAAUCAAUUCAGAUUCCAUAUGCAGCUCAAUCAAUAUGCCACUAUUGGCAUUUGGUCUUGGUCUCGGUCUUGAGACACUUAUCUCAAAUUGAUUUACAGUCACACACGCACACAGCACAGCGUACACACACACACACACACAACAUUGUAUGUUACUCGAGUCAUGUGACUUGAAUGAAAAAGACAGCCUGAUAUCGCACACAUUAUUUCCUUAGAUAUGAAAUCAGCCGUAUCAAUGUUUUCACCAUCAAGCCUUUUUAUGUCAUGUGAAGUAUGAACUAUUAUAGGUUGUGUCCCUGGUCAAAAGUAGUGCUCUGGUCAAUAACAGUUCACUGCAGGGAAUAGGGUGCCAUUUGAACUGUAGACUAACUGUACUAAGUUACUCCAGUCCUGUUUUUGCUUUUAGAGUGUUGAGUCUGACUGAGUGUUUUGAGAGCGCCCUCUCUCUGUUGGAGGGUGAACUGCAGUCUAUGGACACAGCACCACUACCAGACUGUAUCAAGACUGUUCCCCUCAGUGUGGAUAAACACAGAGAGCUGAUGACGAGCGUCCUCGUCGACCAACGGCUGACUGAGCUACAGCUGAAGGGCGGGGCCUGGCUGGCAAGGCUGACCACAUCAGGACUUGCACAGCGAUCCCCAGACUGCAGGGCUGCGACCUCUAACCUCUAUGAUAGUGUGGACAAUGCCCUCCACCGCCUCGUACAUGUGUCCAAUCACAGAGGCAGCGACCUGGAAGUCCUCGGUCGAUUGGCUGCCAUGGCGGACAAACUGGAAAAGCAAGCUCUAUCUAUUAUGGUGUAGGAUGCUGAGUUCAGGGAGGCAGUACGUGGCCAUGUUAACGGGUGUGGAGGAGACCUACCUGCCCCUCUUGGAAGGUCCAGACACCCCGUCCCCCCUCCGGAGGGAAGCAGACCUCCUUUUCCACAACUUGGCCAGCUUCAGCGCCUUCCUCUCGCAGUACCUCCUCCCAGUCAUGGAGGGAGCUUUACUGCAGAGUCUGCUGAAACAGGACCUCUUCAGUAAACGUAGAGAGGUGUUUCUCCAGUACCCUCACUGCAUAUAGUAAGGACCAAACCAGAAGUGGACUCCUUGUUGGUCACUUAGGCUGCAGACUUCUUUAAGCUCAGACUCCUUGCCACCCCUCCUCUCUCCCUCCUGUCCUUCCCCCACUGUCUCCAGUCCCCUACACAAACUGGAACAGUACUGUGAUGUUCUGGAGGAGCUGGGAGGGCUAAACCACGCCUAUGACUCCUUCCUCUCCGUCCUUAGACACGCCCAGCGCCACGGUGAGGACCUCCGGGCCAGCGACCUCAUCGUCGGGUGUCCGGUCCCGGUGGAGGAGCGUGGAGAGCUGGUGAGUCAGGUGUGUGGGAGGACCAGGAGGAAGAAGACCGGGGUGUGUUCCUCUAUCAACCCCUCAUCGUCUUCACCAAGCAGAAGAGCCUGGGACACACCGCCUACAGCUUCAAACACAGCACCAAGUGUCAGAGUGGAGAGGAGAGGGCAGCCUGGACACACGAUAUCACUCAGCUCCUUUGGACCCACACCAUACACAACACAGGUACGACCUCUAAACCCUGGCUUUACCCUCUCAGUCACACUGUUGUCAUGACUGGCCUGCUCGUGUCAGGUUACCGUGGACCACAAUCCUACAGAGAGAUCUCUGACACUCAUCAAAGGGAAAGAGAUCGAGAGCCAUUGAGGUGGGGGGUUUUAUGACACCUCACGCCCAUUGUAAAUCUUAAGGCAGCAGGCAAAAUUCCUUUGUCCUCUCACUAUGGAGAACCGGCCUCAGAACAUUAACAUGCAAUUAAUGGACUUUGGGACAAUAGGUUUCGUCAGCCACAUUGGUGGUAAUGACGAUAGAUGGAAUACGAAAAUGAAUGUCGUUUUGUUAUAUUAUUAAAAGUUAAAGGACGACGUUAUAAUGAAAACUUUGUAACUAAGAGUUUUCCUAAUAUGUGCCUGAUGUUUGCAUAUUGUACAUUUGUGUGGAAAAUGUUCAGAAAAAAGAUAAUGUUUUUGUAAAGAUGAAAUGUGAAGUUAGUUGUCUAAAUUGGAGCUGAGUAAAAUCCAGACCUUGCCUCAUAACUUGGUACGCCCAGAGAAUUGCCCUGAAGGCGGAAACGCCCAUUUCUGACCCGAGGGAGUUAAGAAUGAACAUAUUAGACUAAGUGAUCCUGAGCUGCAGCCAAGGUCUGAGUGGUGAGCAAACCCAAAACGCAACACGAGGUUGAGGAGGACAAAAUAACCUUUUUACAACCUAUUCUACGGACAAGUAGCCGUAUCUAACGGGGGUGAAUUCAAGCAGGACGACCCGGUCACCACUCUCCAAGGAAUCAUGUGUCUACACUGUUUUCCUUCCCACGCUGGAACCAUCCCCACGGCUGAUUAGCCCUCCUCCGAAGACCCCUUUUUCAGAGCAAGUGCGAGGAAACAGACCACUAAAAGAAAGGACACUGACAUCGUGAGGAGAAACAGAGAGUUACACCCGGUAACCGAAGAUGGACCAUCAUCAGAUAAGUCGGAACCACGGUCCAUGCAGAGACCCCCCCCAUCAGAGACCUUCAACACGUAAUUACAUUGUUAUAUUCUGACCCAUAAGAGCGGUAGUUUGGGGCAAGGUUGGGGUUGAAAUAAUCGUAACUGACAAAUGCACCCAAUUGUGUUUUUCUUUCGCGUACUCUAUCUCUCUCUCUUUUGAAAUCGCCAUUGUGUGUAACACGUGUCAUAUGGUGUUGGCCCGCUAGGGACCUGUUCAUCGUACUAAGUUCUAAUCAAUAGCCUAGACUGUGUGCUUGUGUAUGUGUAUCCAUAGCACAGGUAUGACACCUGAACAGUCACCUGUCCCUUCUCUACCCUCAUUCACAACAUUCUAAUCUAACCUUUCUCAUUCUAACCUGUCACGUGGUCAUGUGACCAAUCUUACUCCAACCAUCUACUACACAGGUGUGCAUUCUUAUAGAUGCACCCACUGUAUGUAUAAGCCUCUCUCUCUCUCUCUCAUGUCUGAUAGAGACAAUGUGUAUUGGUCUGUCCAGUAAGAUACUGCUAGAUGUCACAGGAGCACCAGACACAUCUGAAAUGGCCUCUAUCUACAGUCUGAAUGACAGAGUUCACAGUAGCUGUUCAGACUCCUCCUCUGUUGGCAGUCAGAAGGAGGGGGAAUCCCCAGCAUCUGGGAGGGGACACACACAGAAACUGGAUUCCGGACUCCAAAACAACUUACGUUUGACAUUUACAUAAGGGUGAAACUGAACAUAAAGCAAACAAAGAGACAUUACGGCUCUAACUAACCCAGGAUCUAGCAUCAACAGAGUCUGCUGUGGGUGGCCAUGUUGGAUCGGCCGGACACAGUUGCUCGCAGAGUCAUUGAUACCGUGGACACUCCAGCCACACAGAAGGAGCAUUGUCCUCCCUCUGCGGCUCCCCGCUAGGCCAAACCACUCUGUCUGAACCACUGACUGGCAGCCAUGGCCUAGUGUGUGUGUGUGUGUGUGUGUAUGCGUGUGUGUGUAUGCGUGUGUGUGUGUGUAUCCGUGUGUA